CCUCUUUUAUCAGGGAAGAAUCGAUGACGGUACCUGAUGAAUCAGCAUCGGCUAACUCCGUGCCAGCAGCCGCGGUAAUACGGAGGAUGCAAGCGUUAUCCGGAAUUAUUGGGCGUAAAGCGUCCGUAGGUGGUUUAUCAAGUCUGCUGUCAAAGCGUGCGGCUUAACCGCAUAAGGGCAGUGGAAACUGAUGAACUAGAGUGCGAUAGGGGUAACAGGAAUUCCCAGUGUAGCGGUGAAAUGCGUAGAUAUUGGGAAGAACACCAGCGGCGAAAGCGUGUUACUGGGUCUGCACUGACACUGAGGGACGAAAGCUAGGGGAGCGAAAGGGAUUAGAUACCCCUGUAGUCCUAGCCGUAAACGAUGACAACUAGGCGUGGUUCGUAUCGACCCGAGCCGUGCCGUAGCCAACGCGUUAAGUUGUCCGCCUGGGGAGUACGCACGCAAGUGUGAAACUCAAAGGAAUUGACGGGGGCCCGCACAAGCGGUGGAGUAUGUGGUUUAAUUCGAUGCAACGCGAAGAACCUUACCAAGGCUUGACAUCCUCGGAACCCUGAUGAAAGUUAGGGGUGCCUUCGGGAGCCGAGAGACAGGUGGUGCAUGGCUGUCGUCAGCUCGUGUCGUGAGAUGUUGGGUUAAGUCCCGCAACGAGCGCAACCCACGUUUUUAGUUGCCAGCAUUCAGUUGGGCACUCUAGAGAGACUGCCGGUGACAAACCGGAAGAAAGUGGUGGAUGACGUCAAGUCAGCAUGCCCCAUACGCCUUGGGCU
rnacentral:rRNA from 1 species